rnacentral:SRP_RNA from 1 species
GCCGGGUGUUGUGGCGGGCGCCUGUAGUCCCAGCUACUUGGGAGGCUGAGGGAGGAGACUCGCUUGAGCCCAGGAGUUGGAGGUUGCUGUGAGCUGUUAUGCACAGCAUUCUACCCAGGGGGAUAGCUUGAGGCUCUGUCUCAAAAAAAAAAAAAGAAGAAAGCAAGCAUAGUUCUUUAGUUAUGUGGUAAAUUCUAAGAACUAUGCUUGCUUUCUUCUUUUUUUUUUUUUGAGACAGAGCCUCAAGCUAUCCCCCUGGGUAGAGUGCUGUGCAUAACAGCUCACAGCAACCUCCAACUCCUGGGCUUAAGCGAGUCUCCUCCC